rnacentral:rRNA from 1 species
GUUGAAAGGGAAGCGCUUGCAACCAGACCUGCCUGCAGUUGCUCAUCCGUGGCUUUUGCCCGGUGCACUCUUCUGCUGUCAGGCCAGCAUCAGUUCGGGCGGUCGGAUAAAGGCUUCGGGAAUGUAGCUCCUCUCGGGGAGUGUUAUAGCCCGUUGCGAAAUGCGGCCAGCCUGGACUGAGGUCCGCGCUUCGGCUAGGAUGCUGGCGUAAUGGUUGUAAGCGGCCCGUCUUGAAACACGGACCAAGGAGUCUAACAUCUGUGCGAGUGUUUGGGUGUUAAACCCGUACGCGUAAUGAAAGUGAACGGAGGCGGGAACCCCUCGGGGUGCACCGUCGACCGAUCCUGAUGUCUUCGGAUGGAUUUGAGUAAGAGCAUAGCUGUUGGGACCCGAAAGAUGGUGAACUAUGCCUGAAUAGGGUGAAGCCAGAGGAAACUCUGGUGGAGGCUCGCAGCGGUUCUGACGUGCAAAUCGAUCGUCAAAUUUGGGCAUAGGGGCGAAAGACUAAUCGAACUAUCUAGUAGCUGGUUCCUGCCGAAGUUUCCCUCAGGAUAGCAGUAACGUUUUCAGUUUUAUGAGGUAAAGCGAAUGAUUAGAGGCCUGGGGGUUGAAACAACCUUCACCUAUUCUCAAACUUUAAAUAUGUAAGAAGUCCUUGUUGCUCAGUUGAACGUGGACAUUUGAAUGUAUCGUUACUAGUGGGCCAUUUUUGGUAAGCAGAACUGGCGAUGCGGGAUGAACCGAACGCGGAGUUAAGGUGCCGGAAUGCACGCUCAUCAGACACCACAAAAGGUGUUAGUUCAUCUG